GAUGAACGCUGGCGGCGUGCCUAAUACAUGCAAGUCGAACGAAACUUCUUUAUCACCGAGUGCUUGCACUCACCGAUAAAGAGUUGAGUGGCGAACGGGUGAGUAACACGUGGGCAGCCUGCCCAAAAGAGGGGGAUAACACUUGGAAACAGGUGCUAAUACCGCAUAACCAUAGUUACCGCAUGGUAACUAUGUAAAAGGUGGCUAUACUACCGCUUUUGGAUGGGCCCGCGGCGCAUUAGCUAGUUGGUAGGGUAAAGGCUUACCAAGGCAAUGAUGCGUAGCCGAAUUGAGAGGUUGAUCGGCCACAUUGGGACUGAGACACGGCCCAAACUCCUACGGGAGGCAGCAGUAGGGAAUCUUCCACAAUGGGCGAAAGCCUGAUGGAGCAACGCCGCGUGGGUGAAGAAGGUCUUCGGAUCGUAAAACCCUGUUGUUAGAGAAGAAAGUGCGUGAGAGUAACUGUUCACGUUUCGACGGUAUCUAACCAGAAAGCCACGGCUAACUACGUG
rnacentral:rRNA from 1 species